CUUCACUCGUACCUCUCUCUUCCCUAACGCCUCCUCUCACGGUCCUCCUUCUCUUCCUCUCGCCUUCCUAUUACUCCUCUUUUCUCUUCGGUACCCCAAACUACUUCCCCAUCUUCCUCCUGUCUUCUACUUCCUCUUCUCCCUACCCUCGUUCCUUACAGGACGCUUGUAAUUCUGCACAUCUGUUUCUUGGUUCUUUCUCUCUUCUUGUUAUGCAAUGAACUAGUGUCACAAC
rnacentral:sRNA from 1 species